GAUGAACGCUGGCGGCGUGCCUAAUACAUGCAAGUCGAGCGAACAGACGAGGAGCUUGCUCCUCUUACGUUAGCGGCGGACGGGUGAGUACCACGUGGAUACCCUACCUAUAAGACUGGGAUAACUUCGGGAAACCGGAGCUAAUACCGGAUCAUAUAUUGAACCGCAUGGUUCAAUAGUGAAAGCCCUUUUUGCUGUCACUUAUAGAUGGAUCCGCGCCGGAUUAGCUAGUUGGUAAGGUAACGGCUUACCAAGGCGACGAUGCGUAGCCGACCUGAGAGGAUGAUCGGCCACACUGGAACUGAGACACGGUCCAGACUCCUACGGGAGGCAGCAGUGGGGAAUCUUCCGCAAUGGGCGAAAGCCUGACGGAGCAACGCCGCGUGAGUGAUGAAGGUCUUCGGAUCGUAAAACUCUGUUAGUUGGGAAGAAGGAAAGUGUAAGUAACUAUGCACGUCUUGACGGUACCUACACAGAAAGCCACGGCUAACUUCGUG
rnacentral:rRNA from 1 species